rnacentral:rRNA from 1 species
AUUGAACGCUGGCGGCAGGCCUCACACAUGCAAGUCGAGCGGAGCGGCGGACGGGUGAGUAAUGCCUAGGAAUCUGCCUGGUAGUGGGGGAGAACGUCCGGAAACGGGCGCUAAUACCGCAUACUAUCAGAUGAGCCUAGGUCGGAUUAGCUAGUUGGUGGUGUAAAGGCAUACCAAGGCGACGAUCCGUAACUGGUCUGAGAGGAUGAUCAGUCACAAGGGAACUGAGACACGGUCCAGACUCCUACGGGAGGAAGCAGGGGGGAAUAUUGGACAAUGGGCGAAAGCCUGAGGCAGCCAUGCCGCGUGUGUGAAGAAGGUCUUCGGAUUGAAAAGCACUUGAAGUUGGGAGGCGUUACCAACAGAAUAAGCACCGGCUAACUUCGUGCCAGCAGCCGCGGUAAUUC